GUUGAACCAAUUGAACCGCAGGUCCACCCCUUGUGGUGCUCCCCCGCCAAUUUCUUUAAGUUUCAGCCUUGCGACCGUACUUCCCAGGCGGCGGGCUUAACGACUUCUCUCCGGCACCUGGUGCUCUCGAGGAACACCAGACACCUGGCCCGCAUACUUUACAGCUAGGACUACCGGGGUAUCUAAUCCCGUUCGCUCCCCUAGCCUUCGCCCCUCACCGUCAGGCCCGUUCUCGCCGAGCGCCUUCGCCACUGGUGGUCCCCCGAGGAUUAGAGCAUUUCACCGCUACCCUCAGAGUACCCUCGGCGUCUCCCGGCCUCAAGACUGACAGUAUCCCUUGCAAGCCGAACGGUUAAGCCGCCCGAUUUCACAAGGGACUUGCCAACCCGGCUACGAGCGCUUUAGGCCCAAUAAUCGCGACCACCACUUGGGCUGCGGGUAUUACCGCGGCGGCUGGCACCGACUUACCCAGCCUUAUUCCGGGAGCUCCUUGCACUCCCGAAAAGCCGUCGAACAAAAGUCCAACGGCACUUGGGGUUCCCCGUCACGCUUUCGCGCAUUGCGGAG
rnacentral:rRNA from 1 species